rnacentral:rRNA from 1 species
UACGAAGGGGCUAGACGUUGUUCGGAAUUACUGGGCGUAAAGCGCACGUAGGCGGAUUCCUAAGUCGGGGGUGAAAUCCUGGAGCUCAACUCCAGAACUGCCUUCGAUACUGGGAAUCUUGAGUUCGGGGAGAGGUGAGUGGAACUGCGAGUGUAGAGGUGAAAUUCGUAGAUAUUCGCAAGAACACCAGUGGCGAAGGCGGCUCACUGGCCCGAUACUGACGCUGAGGCACGAAAGCGUGGGGAGCAAACAGG